GAACAUAUGUUCUCCCUUUGGAUAAACACUUGGAGUGGAAUUUGUUAGGUCCUGGGGUAAGUGUGUGUUCAUAGUUUCCCAAAGUGGCUUUGCCAUUUGCAUUUGAACCAGGACUUUUGUGUGUGAGAAUUCUAGCUCCUUCUUGUCCUUACAGAGCAGCUGGAUGCUGCGUGUGUGGAGCCGAUCACAUUGGGUUUUGUGUGAGCCAUUAGCAGGGUUAAGGAUUUUAGGGACUUCACAGAAGGAGGCUGGAGAGCAUCAGCAGAGGCAGCCUGGACCUUGGAUCUGUAAAAAGAAGACACUGUUUGAAACUGCACAAAUGAGUUGGGGUUUCCAACAGGGCAGGUGGG
rnacentral:lncRNA from 1 species